rnacentral:lncRNA from 1 species
GCUGGGGUUGUGGCUCAGCUGUACAGAGAUCGCCUACCAUGUGCUAGGCCCUGGGUUCGAUCCUCAGCACCACAUAAAAACAAAUAAACAAAAUAAAUGUAUUGGGUACAAAUAAAAAAUAAAUAUGUAAAAAAUAUUUUUUAGUUGUUGAUGAGCCUUUAUUUUAUUUAUUUGUAUGUGGUGCUGAGAAUUGAAUCCAGUGCCUCAUGAAUGCUAGGCAAGCACACUACCACUGAGCCACAACUCCAGGCCCCUUGCAACUUAUUUUUUAAAUGGACAUGUUUCUUUCUCUUCCUCUUCCCCUAAUCUCUCCCCCUCUCUAAUCUCUGGAGAAACAGGGUCACCUUUCUUCCCCAUCCUAGGCAGAGUUAUCUGUCCCUGAGCACACACCCACCAUAGGAACGAAGUAACCCAGACUUUGGGGAUGGCACCAGAAGACCUCAGAAAUGACUACCUCCCAAAUUAACAAGUGAAUCACACCUCCAGACAGAGAACACGUGGAAUGUAGCCUUUGAGUCACCUCUUUAAAAGCCCCCCUGUUCCUGCUGAUGGGCAGAAUCACAACAGCCUCUGAGACAGGAAUCCCCUGUGUUUCUCCUUUGCUAGCAAAGCAAUAAAC